UGGGGAAUAUUGCACAAUGGGGGAAACCCUGAUGCAGCAACGCCGCGUGAGUGAAGAAGUAUUUCGGUAUGUAAAGCUCUAUCAGCAGGGAAGAUAAUGACGGUACCUGACUAAGAAGCUCCGGCUAAAUACGUGCCAGCAGCCGCGGUAAUACGUAUGGAGCAAGCGUUAUCCGGAUUUACUGGGUGUAAAGGGUGCGUAGGCGGCACAGCAAGUCAGAUGUGAAAGACCGGGGCUCAACCCCGGGGCUGCAUUUGAAACUGCCGAGCUUGAGUCCGGGAGAGGCAGGCGGAAUUCCUAGUGUAGCGGUGAAAUGCGUAGAUAUUAGGAGGAACACCAGUGGCGAAGGCGGCCUGCUGGACCGGAACUGACGCUGAGGCACGAAAGCGUGGGGAGCAAACAGG
rnacentral:rRNA from 1 species